AGGUCAUGAUGUGGACACUUCCUUAGCAAAUUGUUUAAACACUCCUACGCUUCAUGCAAGGGUUCUCCAUCCUCUUGGGAAAACUCACGGAUUUAAGUUCUCAUUGC